rnacentral:rRNA from 1 species
UGCCAGCCGCCGCGGUAAUACGGAGACCUCGAGCGUUACUCGGAUUCACUGGGCGUAAAGGGUGAGUAGGUGGCCAAGUAUGUCAGGUGUGAAAUCCCGGGGCUUAACCCCGGAACUGCGCCUGAAACUACUUGGCUAGAGUCUCGGAGAGGUGAGUGGAACUCCAAGUGUAGAGGUGAAAUUCGUAGAUAUUAGGAAGAACAUCAGUGGCGAAGGCGACUCACUGGUCCGAUACUGACGCUGAGGUGCGAAAGCGUGGGUAGCAAACAGGAUUAGAUA